GAGGCGGCGCGAGUGCGUGAAGCCGGGGGAGGGGUGGCCAGGUGUUCCACGCGCGCCCGGGGCUGAAGGUGGGGGUGUCGGGAGCACGGGCUAACGGCCCUGGGCUCGCACGUGGAGGCGCGAGUGCAAGCGCUCCCCAAAGCCGGGGGAGGAUGAAAUACCGGGGAAGCCGCACACUGUUACCAUUCCAGGCUUGUGUGGGAGAAGACUGUUGUGUGCCUGUGUCUGUCCGGCCCGGCAGCUCCAGUCCCUGGUUAAUAAAAGCUGGCAACUCUACUCACAUUUUGAGGACCCUGCAGUUAUAGACAAAACCUCAAAUUUUAGGUCUCAAGGAAUGACUAAUCAGGUGGGCUAGAUGCAUGUGACCUUGCCUCAGCCAACCACAACAACCAAGGAAGCAAGGUCUUAGAAUUGAUAACAGCUUCCAUUCAGAAUUCCCAUCUAAAAUGAUGGGAGGAAGGAUGUCAUCCAGAUGAAACCACCAGGGAAACUGCCGUGAGUUGGCAACGACACCAUAUUUUAUUUAGUGUGCUGCUAUGUGUUGGACACAUGUCAGUACCUUAUGUGCUUUACCUCAUUUAAAUUUUUCAAUGAGCUCAAUAAUCUCUCAGUUUUGAGCAGAUGAUGCCCAAAGAAGUUGUGUGCCCAUAAGUUAUGCUAAGUGGCAACACCUGGAUGUAUGGGGGCCUUAAAAGCCAGAAAAGGGAUUUACAUGGUAAGAAACAGACACUUAUUGAUGACUUUUGAGCCAGAUGAUAACUGUAUUAUAAAACUAAUGUUUAUGAAGAGCCUGAAAUACAUGGAAAAUUCAUAUAAUAAAUUGCCAAAGCAGCAAAGAUAACUUAAGAGGCCUAGAGGAUAGCAUUAGAAGACCCAGGAUACAUCUGAAAGAAUUUCUGAAGGAGAGAAGAUAAGACUUUGAAAGAGAGGCAAUAUCCAUGGGAUAAUGAGAGUCUUUCAUACUUGAAGAAAACUAUGAGUUAUCAGGUCAAAGUAAGGUGCUAAGGCUCAAGCAGCUUAUGUACAUAGUAGUGAAAUUACAGAGUACCAAAGCAAUAGAAAAAUGUUAAAAGUUACCACUGAGAAAAGUCAAAUUAUCCUAAAAGGAAAGACAGUCAUCCUGUCAGAUUUAUAAGCAACAUGAAGUGACAGAAGACAAUGGAAAAUAUCUUCAAAGUAUUGAGAACCCAUAACUGAGAAACUAGAAUUUUAUACCUAGCUAAGUCAUCUUUCAAGAGGAAGAACAAAAUCAACACAUUUUCAAAAUUUAGUAUUCACAGAUGCUUGUUGAAAGUAAUACAAAAGAAUAUAAGAAGAAAAAGGCUGAACACAAAAGGAAUUACUGAGAUUGAAGAACGAAAGGUAAAUAAAUUAGCAAGUAUUUUAGCUAAUCUAAUUUAAGUGCCAGUAUUUUUGAAUUUUAAAAACAGGUAAAAUUAAAAUACCACCCCUCAAGAGUAUGGUAGGUAAUAGCAGAAGGAAAUUCUGAAUUAAGGACUAGACUCCUUUUGUUCAAGAAUGAAAUAUUCCUUAACUUUAGAUGUUAAUAAAUUCUUGUAUUGGUUAAGGUUUCUUAUGAAGACAACAGGUUUGAGCAAUAAUUUUUUUUUUUGGUUGUGAUUCAUAAUUUAAUGGCCAUGUAGGUCCUUGUCCUUAUUUCUGCCCUCAUAGGCGCACUACUCUUGUGUCAAUGUAUUCUGCUCAAAGCUUAGAUGUGCAGGAACACUUCUAGGCAUGUGUUCACUGGACAGUGUCUCUUGAGGCAGCAGCUCCUCAGACCUGGAAGCUAGAGGUUCAUCUUUGAGAGUUGUAUCGUCUACUCUUUGUGCUCUGCCACAGGUUCUGCUGCAGCUUCCCCUGGAGGAGGGUACUGAGCCUCAUUGCUGUGGCCUGGGGUGGGGGCCACAGCCCCACCCAUAUGUAAUUCCAGCUCCAGCAGGAAUUUCUUAAGUUGAUGUUCAGUGGUUCUUAGCGUCACUGGGAGAGCUAAAAAAAUAACAAGUGUGGGCUAAGCUUCUAGAAAAGUGCCCUAAACCAUGCAACAGAACUGGCAUGAAAAAGAAACUGUUACUACUACCAUCCAAGCAUCAAAUGCCAGGAGCUGAACUUUUCUCCAUCCACUCCUGCUGUCAGCAUCAGUGCCAAUUCUGUGUUAGAAACUUGAGUUACAACUGCCACCACCUCUGCAAACUGGAUCCAUCUGUUUCUCUGCACCAGGAAGGUGGAAGCUGUAUGCAGAGCUUAUAUCCUUGCAGUCAUUAAUUUCCACAGGUGCUUCUGGUUGACAGUUUAUGUCUUUGGCCUACCUUCUAGCUGCAAGGGAAGCAGGAAAUUUGAGUUCUGAAUUUUAUACUGGAGAGGUGGGAUCUAUGCCCAGGGAAUUACACCAAAUAUAGAAAGGGUAUUUAAAAGAUUCCAGCAGCCUUGAAAAAUGCCAGAGUCUGCUAUUGAUAGGCAUAUUAAACAUUGAAAGGUAUUCACCAAAAUAAACAAAAUGUAACUUCUGAGCUUAGAGAAAAAAAAUAACCUAUACAAAAUGUAGUUACUGGAGUAGCAGGCAAGAAAAAAAAAGCAAAGUAAAAGUAUGAUAAAUAAAUUCAAGUAAGAUCAUAGAGAAAAGUUGAACUAGGUUAUUACAAUAAAAAUAAAUAUAAAUAUAUAAAUGGUUUGGGGCUGUCUAUUCAUGAUAACAACAGACAUUUAGACUGGAUUUUUAGAAAUCCAGCUAUGUGCUGUUUGCAAAUAUAUGGUAAGAAAAUAUUACCAAAAUGUCUGAUAGAAGGCAAUUUUUAAGAAAACUACAAAGAAAAUACCAAAGAUUUGUGCAUCCAAUACCAUUAAUAUCAGACAUAAGAACUUAAGGCUAGAAGGACUGAUAAAGAUAGAGAGGUGAUAUGUAGUCAUCCUAAAAGGAGCUCUCCACCAGAAAUACGUACAGUCAUGAACAUGUGUACACUUUACAUACAGAAAAAUGUGAUGGAAUGACAUAGAAAAAUCAGUAAAUGACAAUCAAAAACAGUUCAGAUGAUAAAUGGUCAGUGUACCAUAAAUCAAUAAGCUGGAUAUGUGAGAUUAUAUUUCUACACACAUACAUAUAUCCACAUAAUCAAUAGUAAAAAAAUUUUCUGUUCUACUCCAAGACUCUUAAGUCCAGCCAUUAGACAUGUGAACUUUGCCAAAUAUACAGGAGAAAAUGCCCUUGUUUCACAAAGUAGGAAGCUAAAAACCAAGUGUGUAACCAAGAUUCCUGAUACACACCAGGUACUUCUCAGGCACCGUAUCUUCCAAGCCAAUCCUUUUGACAUAAAUAAUUUUUUGACAAGUGCAGUUAUUUCAACAACAAAGCCAUUUCAGACUCACUUCAUUUAGUUAAAAGCUCUUCCUAGUGGAUCUCUAACUGCUUCAAGUAUUCUCUGCUGGUGAAUGCUCUUUUGUGGUUGAAAUACGCAAAAAAUGUA